UUCAGUGACGAAUGAAAUGAAACCACACGGCCGGUGGAGAGGUUUGAACGUAUUUCGGAGCAUCGCAGCGUUUCGUGUGUCGCUCGCCGGAAGUCGAGUGAGGAGUGAGUGAAGUCAACCGCGGCUGGCCGGCCGAUCGUCACUUUGUUGUUGAUAGCGGGCGUUCGGCAUUCUCGGUCGCGUAGCAACUGAGGAAUCUGUUUACCACGCGUAGCGGGGGCUCGGAGAUCGAUUCGAUCGGAAUGUGACACGUCGCUCGGACAAACGGAGAGUUUAUUCACUUCCGACAGCAGCCUCGUUCGGCAGACGACUUCGGACCGAGCACGGCGUCGAAUCUUCUCGAAGGUGAGAGAAUGCUCGCUUCUUCCUGUCUCCCGUCAUUCGGAACUGCGGAGGGUGAAUUACGUCAACAAAGAUGCGAAGCUGGUCGAGCUGCUGCCGCGGCCAACUCCACUCGAAACCGGACGUCGAACGAGGAAGACGACGUUGAGAGGUAAACGUGUGGGAAAGGAGGAAAAACACGUUCAUCCUGGACUUCCAGAGCAAAGUGUCGCCCGCUUCAGGAAGAGAAUCGGCGGUCCACGUCCUGCGAUUCGGAGCUUCUUCACAUCGUAGAAUCGAGACUCUGGAUACAAGGCUGCGACUCGGAGCUUCUUCACAUCGUAGAAUCGAGACUCUGGAUACAAGGCUGUGAUGCUUCGAUUCCAAUACUGAGAAUUUUCACCGAGGAGGCGAUAGGAUACUCGGAGGACUUUUUGGUGCUCGAGAACACCGCCUGGAAAUCUGGGAUUCUCUGCUCGGCAGGUCAACUCUUUUGCAUCAUCCUCACGGCCGACAACCAGGGCCAACUUGCUCACGGUUGAAUUGCUUCGCUGAGUAGAGACGAUUGAAGGAUCUCGGAUUAGGUUUCCAUCCAGCAUCCAUACUAUCCUUGCGGCCGGUGAACUCCCCCAAGUUUCGCACCUCGCUCCCACCGGACGUCCUGCGUAGAUCACUUCCGUAUCAAGGACGAUCUUCACCACUGCGGGCUUUACUGAAAUGGAAUACGGAUUUAGAUUAUUCUUUUGAUCACAAGGUCAAUGGCAAUCUACCCCAAGACACUGAUCGAAGAUAAAUAUGGAAGAUGAUCUACGUAACCGUUGAGGAUUGGGUGCAUCGUUUUUCAUCGCAACCGAUCAGAGACGUCGAGCCUCGACUACGCUUAGUAGACACGCAAAAUUAAUUCGGCGUGUAGUUGGUGAAGGCUAUGAUACUUGGAAAAUUCAAGGAAAUUCAGACUCCCAAAAAGCAUACGAAUCCUGUAAAGAGAAGGCUGAAGUGGAGGAUGAAAAACAGCGAAAAUCAGGGGUAAGAGACAAACCGCGAUUAAAGAACCGUCAAGGAAUGUCGCUGUCACGGGGUUGUCGGUCGCGCUGGCAGCGACUGCCGCUACACUAAAACUAAAACUGAAGACAUGUGUGCAGUCCCCACUCGUAAGAGUCCCUCGUGCAUCCAACACAAACCUCCUGACACGCACCCAUUUCCUCACGCACGUGCCACGACCACCAAUACUCAAAAUUAUAAUACAGAAAUACACGCGUGUCCGGCCUGCAGGCCUCUCUGCCUUCCUCAAUGCGUCAUCCCGCCGAUACGUCGAGGGGCACCGAAAUCUCGGAAGACCUGCAUCCAGAGUCAAAUUCGAUCGUAUGGUAAUCUGCCAACUGCUCGCGGGAACCGAGUUAUAGAGACGGUGAAUUCGUGUUUAAUACUCACACGGUUGCCGGUCUUGGACUGCAGCUAUUUCCAGAGCCAAGCUGUGUGUGGAGGUCCUGCAUCUGCGCCCGUACAACGAAUCGUGACGAAACAAACGGUGUUCGUGAUCUGAGUAAAAAUAUGCCCCUUACCUCCAUUCCCUGGAAAGCCGGUGACCAGUGGCACUUUGUGGCGAUAUGAAGAUAAGCGAGGAAGAGGAAAGAGAGAGAGAGAGGACUGAGAAUAUCUUUUGAAGGAAAUCUGAGACCUGGGAAUUCGCCUCACCCUGCUUUGUGUACAUAUGGGGUAACUUAGGGACAUAACCGAAGCGACUGGACGGACUCGAAGUCAACGUGUCUCGUAAAUUAUUCCAGGGAGCUUGCAGCCCUCGAUCAUCAAAUCCUGGUGGGAUUUUGACAUCAGGAGAUCAUUGCGUGAUCUUAGGACGGAACGCACUUAGCUGUCGGUAUAACAGCGAGCUUUUCACGGUAACUGACGUACGUGAUAACGCAAUUUGAUACCUCGAUAUGUCGCCAGAAAUUUGGAUCCUGGAAGCAGAAGAACGGUUGAAGAAGCCAAAUUUUCUGGAUCACCGCCGUUCCAUAACUGUUACGGCUCAACUCACCGUCAAGAGGAUCUACCCAAAUACACAAAUCCUUGUCCUCCACUUCUUCGAGAUCCUGAGGAAGCCUUACGCCAAGAACCUGCUGAUCAGAGUCAGUUACCACCCAAUCGGAAGGGACUUCGCAGUUUGACGGUCCCUCUUCUCCGAUUAUAGCGACGUUGGGAAACUGCCUGCUGAGAGAAGCGACGAUACACCUUUGCGCCGAUCUGUCAGCUUCGGUUUGGGGAUCGUUCUUUCCCUUGUUCACUAUGUUCAGUUCGCCUCCGGUCAUCACGUCCCUGAUUAUCUUUCCGGCACGUCCAGCUACUGUCACUGAGGAUGCGACCACGCGCAAAAGAAGUGGAGCACUCUGCGCCAUAGCGGUGAAAUCGGAUGCCGGCUUGUCUGAUUG